UACGUAGGGACCGAGCGUUGUCCGGAAUCAUUGGGCGUAAAGAGCGUGUAGGCGGCCUUUUAAGUCCUGCGUGAAAUCCUGCGGCUCAACCGCAGACGGUCGUGGGAAACUGGAAGGCUAGAGUGCGGGAGAGGAGAGUGGAAUUCCUGGUGUAGCGGUGAAAUGCGCAGAUAUCAGGAGGAACACCGAUGGCGAAGGCAGGUCUCUGGGCCACUACUGACGCUGAGAAGCGAAAGCAUGGGGAGCGAACAGG
rnacentral:rRNA from 1 species